AUGCAGAAGGUACCAGCUUGCUUGGAACCUAGUACGUCUAUCGCUCAUUCUUCUAUCAUUCAUGAUCAAGCUACUCGCGACGAAUCUCAAGUGCGUGUGAUCUCAAGAAGGCCAUCAAAGAAGUUGGUAGCCAAUAGUUUGCUGCUUCUAGGGGGUGCAAUAUGUUUAUCUCGUGGUCACUCUAGCCUAGGUGCUAAAGUUGCAAUGGCAUACAUCGUCACCAAAUUUAGUAAACGUUAUACAAAUCCAAACCAAACAAAACAAAGUUGA